UACGGAGGGUGCGAGCGUUGUCCGGAAUCAUUGGGCGUAAAGGGCGCGUAGGUGGCCACUUCAAGCGUGCGGUGAAAGUCGGGGGCUCAACCCCUGAUCGGCCGUGCGAACUGGGGGGCUGGAGCACUGUAGAGGCAGGCGGAAUUCCGGGUGUAGCGGUGAAAUGCGUAGAGAUCCGGAGGAACACCAAAGGCGAAGGCAGUGUCCUGGGGAGUACCUGACGCUCAGGUGCGAAAGCCAGGGGAGCGAACGGG
rnacentral:rRNA from 1 species